rnacentral:rRNA from 1 species
AGAGUUUGAUCCUGGCUCAGAUUGAACGCUGGCGGCAGGCCUAACACAUGCAAGUCGAGCGGUAGAGAGGAGCUUGCUCCUCUUGAGAGCGGCGGACGGGUGAGUAAUGCCUAGGAAUCUGCCUGGUAGUGGGGGAUAACGUUCGGAAACGGACGCUAAUACCGCAUACGUCCUACGGGAGAAAGCAGGGGACCUUCGGGCCUUGCGCUAUCAGAUGAGCCUAGGUCGGAUUAGCUAGUUGGUGAGGUAAUGGCUCACCAAGGCGACGAUCCGUAACUGGUCUGAGAGGAUGAUCAGUCACACUGGAACUGAGACACGGUCCAGACUCCUACGGGAGGCAGCAGUGGGGAAUAUUGGACAAUGGGCGAAAGCCUGAUCCAGCCAUGCCGCGUGUGUGAAGAAGGUCUUCGGAUUGUAAAGCACUUUAAGUUGGGAGGAAGGGCAGUAAAUUAAUACUUUGCUGUUUUGACGUUACCGACAGAAUAAGCACCGGCUAACUCUGUGCCAGCAGCCGCGGUAAUACAGAGGGUGCAAGCGUUAAUCGGAAUUACUGGGCGUAAAGCGCGCGUAGGUGGUUUGUUAAGUUGGAUGUGAAAUCCCCGGGCUCAACCUGGGAACUGCAUUCAAAACUGACUGACUAGAGUAUGGUAGAGGGUGGUGGAAUUUCCUGUGUAGCGGUGAAAUGCGUAGAUAUAGGAAGGAACACCAGUGGCGAAGGCGACCACCUGGACUAAUACUGACACUGAGGUGCGAAAGCGUGGGGAGCAAACAGGAUUAGAUACCCUGGUAGUCCACGCCGUAAACGAUGUCAACUAGCCGUUGGAAGCCUUGAGCUUUUAGUGGCGCAGCUAACGCAUUAAGUUGACCGCCUGGGGAGUACGGCCGCAAGGUUAAAACUCAAAUGAAUUGACGGGGGCCCGCACAAGCGGUGGAGCAUGUGGUUUAAUUCGAAGCAACGCGAAGAACCUUACCAGGCCUUGACAUCCAAUGAACUUUCUAGAGAUAGAUUGGUGCCUUCGGGAGCAUUGAGACAGGUGCUGCAUGGCUGUCGUCAGCUCGUGUCGUGAGAUGCUGGGUUAAGUCCCGUAACGAGCGCAACCCUUGUCCUUAGUUACCAGCACGUAAUGGUGGGCACUCUAAGGAGACUGCCGGUGACAAACCGGAGGAAGGUGGGGAUGACGUCAAGUCAUCAUGGACCUUACGGCCUGGGCUACACACGUGCUACAAUGGUCGGUACAGAGGGUUGCCAAGCCGCGAGGUGGAGCUAAUCCCACAAAACCGAUCGUAGUCCGGAUCGCAGUCUGCAACUCGACUGCGUGAAGUCGGAAUCGCUAGUAAUCGCGAAUCAGAAUGUCGCGGUGAAUACGUUCCCGGGCCUUGACACACGGCCCGUC